rnacentral:lncRNA from 1 species
AUGCCAGAGCUGGGACACGGUGCCCUGCGCGGCACCUGUGGCACAGUCACUGCCCGCGGGUUCCAAGGCGUCGCCUACCUCGGCAGUUUCUCUGACCCGCCCCUGGCCUCCAAGAACGGCCCCCGGGGCAGGGCCGGGCACCGCCCCCUGCACCUGCAGGGAAGCCUACGGCCUCGCCCUGGCCCCGCCCUCGGGGUUGGGGGGCGGUGCUCGACAGGGCACCGCAUUUCGGGCUCUGACGCGCCUCAGGUCAGCUCAGGGCACCAGACUUCUUGUAAGAGGACUUCCCUGGACUCGGCCCGCCAGCUGGGAGACAAGUCUGGGUGGCGUUCAACUCGGAGCGCCACCCUGGCACCUUUUCGCUCCCACGUCCCCGGCAUUCCCAGGAGGCUUGACCCCAACUGUGCCUCGGGCUGGGCCUUUGAACCACUGGCCCUCUGGUGCUGGUGUCCUCCAAAGCCAUCUUUCCGGGGCCUUGCUAGCCCCGCCCAGGCCAGCGGACAGCAACGCCCCUGGCGUCUGGGCUGUCCAUCCACAUUCCACCCCUGCAGCGUACGACUCAGACUGGAGGGGGCGCCAGGAGUCCUCUCACGGCACGUCCCAGGUUCCCUCCCUGUUUCUGGGCUCAGCGAGGCCUCUUCCGAGAGAUGUGCCCCUGCCCGCGUUCAGCCCAGAGGCUGCUUUCCCCUCACCCCUCCUGGAAAAGUCAGAGAGGCGUCCGCGGCCAAGAGCACUUCCAGAUUGAGGGAAGAGGGAGAGACGGACACAGCGCGCCCAGAGCUUAGCGGAGCAGCUGCGGUUGAAAGACGGUCACCUUGGGCCCAGGCGGCUGGAAAGGCCCCCGAGAGGUAUCCAGGCUUGCGGUAUGGAGCAGCUCCCCCCAGCUGGCGCCAGAUCGUGGAGUUCAAAGGCAGGACCGAUGCCCCCAAAGACAUUUUCCACUCUCUUCCCCCAGGCUCUCUCCAAAUCUGUCCUCUGGCCCCACCCCAGCAUUCUGGGGUGACCAGGAAGAAAGAUAUAGUUACCUAG